GACGAACGCUGGCGGCGUGCUUAACACAUGCAAGUGGUGCGACGAACCAGGCUUCGGCCUGGGGCAGAGCCGCGAACGGGUGAGUAACACGUGGGCAACCUGCCCUGUUGAUCGGGACAACCCGGGGAAACCCGGGCUAAUACCGAAUGUGGUGCCGGCUCAUGAGAGCCGUCACGAAAGGAAGCUUCGGCCUCCGCGACAGGAUGGGCCCGCGGCCCAUUAGCUUGUUGGUGGGGUAAUGGCCUACCAAGGCAACGAUGGGUAGCUGGUCUGAGAAGACGAUCAGCCACACUGGGACUGAGACACGGCCCAGACUCCUACGGGAGGCUGCAGUGGGGAAUCUUGCGCAAUGGGCGACAGCUUGACGCAGCAACGCCGCGUGGGGGAAGAAGGCUUUCGGGUCGUAGACCCCUUUCAGUUAGGACGAAGCUUUAUUGGUUAAUAACCAAUUGGAGUGACGGUACUUUCAGAAGAAGCCCCGGCUAACUACGUGCCAGCAGCCGCGGUAA
rnacentral:rRNA from 1 species